rnacentral:rRNA from 1 species
CGAGCGGGGGAAGGUAGCUUGCUACCGGACCUAGCGGCGGACGGGUGAGUAAUGCUUAGGAAUCUGCCUAUUAGUGGGGGACAACAUCUCGAAAGGGAUGCUAAUACCGCAUACGUCCUACGGGAGAAAGCAGGGGAUCUUCGGACCUUGCGCUAAUAGAUGAGCCUAAGUCGGAUUAGCUAGUUGGUGGGGUAAAGGCCUACCAAGGCGACGAUCUGUAGCGGGUCUGAGAGGAUGAUCCGCCACACUGGGACUGAGACACGGCCCAGACUCCUACGGGAGGCAGCAGUGGGGAAUAUUGGACAAUGGGGGGAACCCUGAUCCAGCCAUGCCGCGUGUGUGAAGAAGGCCUUAUGGUUGUAAAGCACUUUAAGCGAGGAGGAGGCUACUCUAGUUAAUACCUAGGGAUAGUGGACGUUACUCGCAGAAUAAGCACCGGCUAACUCUGUGCCAGCAGCCGCCGGUAAUAAA